GACGAGCGCUGGCGGCGUGCUUAACACAUGCAAGUCGAACGGAAAGGCCCUGCUUUUGUGGGGUGCUCGAGUGGCGAACGGGUGAGUAACACGUGAGUAACCUGCCCUUGACUUUGGGAUAACUUCAGGAAACUGGGGCUAAUACCGGAUAGGAGCUCCUGCUGCAUGGUGGGGGUUGGAAAGUUUCGGCGGUUGGGGAUGGACUCGCGGCUUAUCAGCUUGUUGGUGGGGUAGUGGCUUACCAAGGCUUUGACGGGUAGCCGGCCUGAGAGGGUGACCGGCCACAUUGGGACUGAGAUACGGCCCAGACUCCUACGGGAGGCAGCAGUGGGGAAUAUUGCACAAUGGGCGGAAGCCUGAUGCAGCAACGCCGCGUGCGGGAUGACGGCCUUCGGGUUGUAAACCGCUUUCGCCUGUGACGAAGCGUGAGUGACGGGAAUGGGGAAAGAAGCACCGGCUAACUACGU
rnacentral:rRNA from 1 species